rnacentral:rRNA from 1 species
CCUACGGGCGGCAGCAGUGAGGAAUAUUGGUCAAUGGCCGGAAGUCUGAACCAGCCAAGCCGCGUGAAGGACGACGGUGCCAAGCAUUGUAAACUUCUUUUGUCAAGGGACAAAAUCAGGCUCGAGAGCCUGACCGAGGGUACUUGAAGAAAAAGCAUCGGCUAACUCCGUGCCAGCAGCCGCGGUAAUACGGAGGAUGCGAGCGUUAUCCGGAUUUAUUGGGUUUAAGGGGUUCGUAGGCGGACUGUUAAGUCAGCGGUAAAAGCCGGGGGUUCAACCCCGGCGAGCAGUGGAAACUGGCUGUCUUGAGAUGUCGAGAGGUAUGCGGAAUGCGCAGUGUAGCGGUGAAAUGCUUAGAUAUUGCGCAGAACUCCGAUUGCGAAGGCAGCAUACCGGCGGCGAUCUGACGCUGAGGCACGAAAGCGUGGGUAUCGAACAGGAUUAGAUACCCUAGUAGUC